CAGUUUGUGCUGGUCUGUCUAUUUAGCUGCAAUCAGCCAUGCCUGAAAGACAGGAAGGAACAAGACGGACAAGUGUGGCAGCUUUAAUUAUGGCCAACUUCUAAUUGCAGCACCUGAUUAAGAUGCAGAGCACUCUUGCUUGACUUGAGCUUGGAGGCAAGCGGAGGUGUAACGUCUUGAGGGUGGAGGAGGUGCCAGAGAACUGGUUUUUCUACAACAAGCCUGCAAGAUGAGAGCAGACAGUCUCAAGCCUGGGAAAGUAAUCAGGUCUGAGGAUUAAAUAUGUUACUUACCUUUCUUUGGAGUCAGGAGCUAUAAAGAAGCUGCUGAGAAUUCAAGCAGCUGUCAUAAAGCAUCCCUGACAUUUUUAUGUGGUCUCAGAUCUCUGGAUGAGGCUCGGGAUAGUAACUCUCUUCUUUUUUGGAAGACUGAAGCACACACAAUGAAUCCUCUCUGUCAGACAACCUGCUGCCACAGGGAGUGCUGGCUCCGAGAAGUCAGCCUAACAGGGAGCAACUUUUAUUGUUGUGAUUGUGCACUCUCUGCAAAUCACUUGAUCCAUUUUAUUCUCCAUACAAAGCAGAUAUAUUAUGGCCCCUUGUCAAUUGGAAAGAUCCUGGAGGGGGGAAGGAAACCUGUCUAGGUUUCCUGCCUUGUCUGUUUAGAGAUAUCACUUCGAGUAGAACAAGCUUGAGGAGUCACUGGCCAGUAAUUCAGAGUCCCUAAUUAAUUUAAUUGCAAGCAAUGAACUUCUCAAAUUAAUUUAUUAUUCAAAUAUAUUCAAGCACUUCCCUUCCCUAGGGCUCUCCCCCGAAAAAUCCUCUUCUAUCCAGCUCUGGGUUGUGAAAAUUGAGUCUGAAACUCAAACAAAAGCACAUCCACAGUGUGUCAGACCUUCUGAUGGGGUGAAGGGGGGGAAUACAGAACAAAACACAAGACCCUUCUGGCAAAUGCAUCCAGGCUGAGGGAGUUAUCCUUAGUUCUGUGUUUCUGAUCCUCACGUGGCUUCUGUAGCUAAUCAGAGUGCUAAUGGUAAUAAACACUAAUUACCAUGUUCCAGUGAAA